rfam:Sus scrofa breed Duroc isolate TJ Tabasco Contig1878_1, whole genome shotgun sequence.
CUCUAGCUGGUUCAGUGGCUAGGAUUCCUGGUUUUCUUCCAGGCUGCACAGGUUCAAUUCCUGAGCAGAGA